rnacentral:rRNA from 1 species
UACGUAGGGCGCAAGCGUUGUCCGGAAUUAUUGGGCGUAAAGAGCUCGUAGGCGGUCUGUUACGUCCGCUGUGAAAACCCAGGGCUUAACCCUGGGCUUGCAGUGGAUACGGGUAGACUAGAGGCAGGUAGGGGAGACUGGAAUUCCUGGUGUAGCGGUGAAAUGCGCAGAUAUCAGGAGGAACACCGAUGGCGAAGGCAGGUCUCUGGGCAUUAACUGACGCUGAGGAGCGAAAGCAUGGGGAGCGAACAGG